AGCCGUGGUCUUGACUCUUGAGUGGUCAACAACGGGCGUCGCUUGGCAUUCGCGUCGCCGCAGCCCCAUCGUCGGGGAGGAGCAAUACCGCCGAAGCGGGAUCGAGCGAGGAAGGGAGAUCGGCGGAUAGACGCGGCCAUCGACCACUUCGCCGCCAAGGGGUACACGGCGCGCCAAGUCCGCGCCGCCGUCACUGCGCUCCUCAUGGUGAUCGACGAGGAGAAGAAGCUGCUGCCGCUGGAGCAGGAGGCCCAGGAGGAGCAGGAACAGCCUCAGAGUGGCUGAUAGCAAGGCUGUUGUGAUGAUGCAAAGGCGCAGGAGCUUUAUAACUGGGUUAAGGUCGCUUGUAAAAUUAACUUUUAUAAGUUUUUGUACAUAGUGGGUAAGUACUGAGGUAGAGCAGAAAACUUAAAAACCUGAUGACUUUUGGGUCUCUUGCUUUAAGAAUGCAAGGGGACCAUGUGAUGCUACCUUGAACAAGUGUUUAACUUUGGAUACUGAUGUUCUGUUAAACUUGGUGUUGGUACGUUGGAAUGUUAAAUAAUUUCUUAAAAUUUAUAAAGUGGUUACAGGAUAUUAUGUUGA